UACGUAGGUGACCAGCGUUGUCCGGAUUUACUGGGCGUAAAGAGCGCGCAGGCGGUCGUUCAAGUCGAGUGUGAAAGCCCCCGGCUCAACUAGGGAGGGUCACUCGAUACUGAUCGACUUGAAGGCAGGAGAGGGAAGCGGAAUUCCCGGUGUAGUGGUGAAAUGCGUAGAUAUCGGGAGGAACACCAGUGGCGAAGGCGGCUUCCUGGCCUGUUCUUGACGCUGAGGCGCGAAAGCUAGGGGAGCAAACGGG
rnacentral:rRNA from 1 species